rnacentral:rRNA from 1 species
GACAGAGGAUGCAAGCGUUAUCCGGAAUGAUUGGGCGUAAAGCGUCUGUAGGUGGCUUUUUAAGUCUGCCGUCAAAUCCCAGGGCUUAACCCUGGACAGGCGGUGGAAACUUCCAAGCUGGAGUACGGUAGGGGCAGGGGGAAUUUCCGGUGGAGCGGUGAAAUGCGUAGAGAUCGGAAAGAACACCAACGGCGAAAGCACUCUGCUGGGCCGACACUGACACUGAGAGACGAAAGCUAGGGGAGCGAAUGGG